GUCCACGACCAUACUAGGUUGAAAGCACCGCAUCCCGUCAGACCUGCAAAGUUAAAAAACGUUAGGCUGAGCUAGUACUACGGUUGGUGACAACGUCGGAACACACUGUGUCGUAGGGC
rnacentral:rRNA from 1 species